rnacentral:sRNA from 1 species
GAACUUCUCCCAUGCGCCGAGCCCAGACAUGAGCGCUGCGUCCCUCUGCGCACUGGAGCAGCUCAUGAUGGCCCAGGCCCAGGAAUGUGUGUUUGAGGGCCUCUCACCACCUGCCUCCAUGGCUCCCCAAGACUGCCUGGCCCAGCUGUGCCUGGCGCAGGAGGCCGCCCAGGUGGCAGCCGAGUACAGGCUAGUGCACCGGACCAUGGCCCAGCCACCCGUCCACGACUACGUGCCUGUCUCCUGGACUGCCCUGGUGCAUGUCAAGGCUGAGUACUUCCGCUCCCUGGCCCACUACCACGUAGCCAUGGCCCUCUGCAACGGCUCCCGUGAGUGCCCACCGCACUUGCCCAUGGUACUGCCAAGGCCCCCUCGCACAGGGCUCACAGCCUCUCUGUCCCCCAGCAGCAACCGAGGGAGAGCUCCCCACGCACGAGCAGGUCUUCCUGCAGCCCCCCACCUCCUCUAAGCCCCGAGGCCCUGUGCUGCCGCAGGAGCUGGAGGAGCGCAGGCAGCUUGGUAAGGCGCCCAUGGGUGGAGUGCCCUGGGGCUCAGGUGGUCACCAACGGUGGCAGGGUGUCCCCCACCACCCUCAUGCUGUUUGCCACCUGCUGUCCCCAUGCUGACGAGUUGGGCCACCUACCUAUCCCUGGAUGGCCUGUGCCUGAUGGGUGACGGCCCAGCGCAGGGGCCCCAGGAGUGCUGGGCAGCCUCUGAGCAGGUGGGAGACCGCUGGGAGCAGCUCAUCCCUGGCCCCUGCUUUGCACGUGGCAGAGCCCUCCUGCACAGCCAGCUCCUCACCCCCGUGGUGCGCGCCCCCAACAAAAGUGGCUGUGAUGAGCCCCGCAGCCCUGGCGUUGCCCACUCCUUCUGCUGUGUCCCAGGGCCCACGGGCCCACAUGGUGUGUGACAUCCCAGUGCCCCGCGUGCAGGCAAGGCACACCUGAAGCGUGCCAUCCUGGGGCAGGAGGAGGCGCUGCGGCUGCACGCCCUGUGCCGCGUCCUGCGCGAGGUGGACCUGCUUCGGGCUGUGAUCUCCCAGACGCUGCAGCGCUCACUGGCCAAGUAUGCGGAGCUCGACCGUGAGGAUGACUUCUGUGAGGCUGCCGAGGCCCCGGACAUCCAGCCUAAGACCCACCAGAAGCCAGAGGCCAGGAUGCCGCGCCUGUCCCAGGGGAAGGGGCCUGACAUCUUCCAUCGGCUGGGGCCCCUGUCUGUGUUCUCAGCCAAGAACCGGUGGCGGCUGGUGGGGCCCGUCCACCUGACCCGAGGAGAGGGCGGCUUUGGCCUCACGCUUCGGGGAGACUCGCCUGUCCUCAUCGCUGCCGUCAUUCCAGGGAGCCAGGCCGCGGCGGCUGGCCUGAAGGAGGGCGACUACAUUGUGUCAGUGAAUGGGCAGCCAUGCAGGUGGUGGAGACACGCGGAGGUGGUGACGGAGCUGAAGGCUGCGGGAGAGGCGGGCGCCAGCCUGCAGGUGGUGUCGCUGCUGCCCAGCUCUAGGCUGCCCAGCUUGGGGGACCGCCGGCCUGUCCUGCUGGGCCCCAGGGGGCUUCUAAGGAGCCAGAGGGAGCAUGGUUGCAAGACCCCGGCAUCCACAGGGGCCAGUCCCCGGCCCCUCCUCAACUGGAGCCGAAAGGCCCAGCAGGGCAAGACUGGAGGCUGCCCCCAGCCCUGUGCCCCAGUGAAGCCAGCUCCGCCCUCAUCCUCGAAGCACCCAGGGUGGCCGUGAGGGCCAGGCUCCCUGCACGCCUCAGCCCUGGCUCCAGCUGGCAGCGAGCACCGAGCAUGCCCUCCCCACCCAGAGGACCUCCAGGCAAUGCCUGUCCCGCCUCAUGCUGGAGGCUGCCUCAGGCACCU